UUUGUGGAGACUGGUUGUGGUUACACCAAGCUUGAUUUCCAUAAGCAUUCAUUACAAUCUCUCCUUGCCCCUCACUUGUCCCAUGCUUCUCAAGACAACAGACUCUUUAUUCCUCCUGUAUGCUCUCGAACUGUGCUGUGAACAUGGCAGGUCUGUUGUACUUGGUGCAGUUUUUACUAUCUAAUCUUUGAGCUUGGACUUUUACAUGGCAUGGUGAUUUUACAGGCAUUCGUCACCUACACUUCAACCUCAGUGAUGUCUAGGAAUGUCCUGAGAUGCAGAAGUGAGAAGUGUUCUAUGGUAAUAGAGAUGCAUCCACUGAAGUAGAAAGAAACGGAUACACCUCUACCAAUCAAGACUUCAGUUCACACAGGCAGACCAGAGGGCCCCGCCCAAAGGACAGCUUUCUUUCACAUCUUGAUGGCUAAACAGUGCUUACAUCUCCUGAUCUGAGCUACUUGCCGCCAUAUGUGCUCUUUCUAAGGAGGAGUGUUUCCUUGUCCUGGGGAGUUUCUGAGUUAUGUACGUUGAAGAUCGAAGCUAGCCUAGGUUAAGGAUGGCUUUUGUAACCUAUCCCAUCCACACAAACAUAAAAGGGAAAAAGAAUUGUGAAUGUUGCAUGGACUCCUGGGCCACUGUUUGACUCAGCUGCUGAUAGAGGAGUUUUCCUACGUACACUACAGUUCUCUGCAGCACAGUUCUCAUGAUACAGCAUUUCUGCAAAGAAUCCAUCAACUAGCUGAAAGCCAUAAAAUGUGGACAACCCACACACAUAUACAUACACACCCACACACACUCGAACACAUGCAUACACAUAAACAUAGGCACAUGACUGCACACUCACACACAUGUACAUACACAUGCACACACAUACAUACGUGCACACACCCCUAAGCUGCCUGUGCCAUCAUUUAGACAUACACACUUGGCCAUAGCACAUAUGCAGAAGUCAGAGGACAAUUUGCAAAAGUCAGUUUUCUCCUUCUAUCUUGUUGAUAUCAGAGAUCAAACUUAGGUUGCCAAGCUUUGUGGCAAGCUCCUUUACCCACUGAGCCAUCUUGCCAGCCCAAAGAGUUUGUUCCGGUUCCAUAUCUUUGCAUUAAUUUAGUGGUGCCACCAGGCAUGGCAGUUAUUGUUUAUUACUAUGAGAUGCAGACCCCAGAUCGUCCUGUCUCUACCUCAGUCUGUCCUCUGCCUGUUCUGGAGUCUAAGCUUACCCAUGAAUUCGCUUUACCUGGAGGCAAAAGUGGGGAGAGCUGAGGUGCCUUUGUUCUCAAGCUGAUGCCACCGGGCAGGUCAGCUUUGGGUACCAAAUAAGACUGGGAGAGCACAGAGGCUGGUUACCUCCCUUCUUCUAUGCUUCCUGCUGGAGCAGAGACUGGAUGAAGGCUGGACUGGGCUCUGGCCUGAAGAAAUGAGUGUGACAUGGAGGAGGGGAUGCAGGCAGGGAAAAUCUUAUUGCACAGUUACUCUGGAAUCACCCUGUCUGUUCUCAGGAGGAGCUGAAUUCCACAUGUAGAAACAACCAUGUGUAUAUAUUUCCAUGAACGCUAUCAGAUAGUAGGGCAAUUUGAAACAAACAUGAACUUUCUUUAAGGUCACACACACACACACACACACACACACACACAGCUGGUGUUUCCUGCUGACUGACCCCCAUGUGUUUGGAGGUCACGGCCAACUGACAAAAACACUUUGCUCAUGAUGGCAGGUUAAUGAGAAAGAGGAAGCCUCUUAUAGACUGCUGGGCUGGCAAAAACAGCCAAAACACACAGCUUUGUGUUAGCGUAGCUGCAGGGACCCACGAGGUACGGGACUCCAGUGUCUUCCAUCGUGACUGCUCCAGGAUGAGGACCAGCUACGCAGGACAGCCCAAUGUUGGAUGUAUCCUAUUGCUGAUAUUUCUUGCUUUCAGACUUUCUCAGGGUCUCCAUCACCAGUGAGCUCAUCCAGAACAAGAAGGAAGGGAGGCAAACCCCAGGCUACAAAUCCCUGCACACCACUUGCCUCGACAGACAUCACUUUCUGGUAUCCAGGAGCUAACUGACACCCUCCGGACCCAGAAACUCACAAAUAUCAGCAUAAACAUCAAGACAGGGGACUAAGCAGUCAUCACCCCUCAGAUGAGUCACAGUCUGUCUGUUCUCAUGAAGCUGAUCCUAAUCAAGGCAAGAUCACCUCAAACCAAACCAGGCUUUCCUGCCCUCCAAGCCACAGGCUUCUGCUCUGGUUUCUGGCCUCUAGGCUGACAGACAUGCAGAGCUGCAUGUAUGAAAAGCUUGCUCUGCUCAGGGUUUCACAUUACAUACUGUUCUCUCCAAGCACACAAUGGUUUGCCAGGUACACACAGAUAAUACAAGCAAAGUAUGGAUGUGAUUUUAGGCCAUCUGAUGCCAAACUCUGAAUUAAAAAACAAACUUUGGGGCUGGAGAAAGAGCUCAGUGGGUGCAUGCAUACACACUUUGAGUGCUUUUAUUCACUCCGAAAUCAUAUUGGCCUUUAACAAUUAAAAAGUAUUUUUUAAGAUUUUAUUUUAUAGGUAUGUUUGUUUUGUCUGUAAGUAUCCCUGGUGUACAUGUGUGCCUGGUGCCUACAGGCUCCAAGAAGAAGGCACCAUAUCCCAUGGAACUGGAUCUCCAGAUGGUUACAACUCAUCACAUAGGUGCUCGGAACUGAACCUGCAUCCUCUUCAAGAGCAACAGCCCUGCAGCUCCUUUCAAAAAACCUCUAUGUGGAACCGCCUUGGCAGGGCAUGCUGUUUGGAUAUAUCCGCGAUAUAUUUAUUAUUAUUAAUACAUCACUUUGGUGCCUAAACCCGGGAAAGCAAAGACAACCAACAGCUGCUAGAUCCCAGUGGAUCCAGGUUGUGUCCAGCGUGCUGGGUAGGAGGGGUAUCCAGCAGACGUGCAGCCCCUCUGCUGCUGAACCUCCGCUGCUGCCCAUGUGGUCUGCCGCUGCCAUUGCACAUACAAACUUCAACCCACGCUUGUUUCUGCACCAUUGAAAACCCAAACUGCUGCCUCAGUUUCUCGUCACUGAGAUACCUCAGAGCCUACUACCUCUGGGUCAAGGAUCCGUCUUCUGUGCCAACCGCAGGUCCUUCUAAACAUUCUACCUUGGCACCUACUUUCACACCACCUAUCACACGUUCUAAGGCUACAACCAAACCCCUAAGCUCUCCUCCCCGAGAGGAAUCUGACCCAGCAACUGUCCUUCCCCUAAGGGAAGUUGCAGGGGUAGACGGUCUUGUCAGAGUACAUGUUUCCUUCUCACUGAGUGAACUUUCUCAGAUAGAAAAGAGGUUGGGCUCCUAUACUUCUAAUUCCUCCUCCUUCAUUAAAGAAUUUCAGCAUAUUACCCAAUCGUACAGUCUGACUUUCCAUGAUAUACACAUGAUAGAGCGAGUUUGGGAACAAGUGAGAGCACAUGCAGAUGAGAUUCAUCAAACAGAUAGAGCAUAUCCAAUCUGAUUGGAGACAGUACCUGACCAGGAUCCUCAAUGGAAUUAUAAUUCCGCAGGUAGUAUUCUAGCCAGAGACAGGUUGUUACAUAUCUUUUGGUGGGCCUGAGAAAGGCAGCUUUAAAGACGGUAAAUUUUGAAAAACUCCAAGAGGUUGUCAAAGAUAAACAGGAAAAUCCAUCUCCGUUUUUAGAGCCCCUUAAAGGGGCUUCCUGCAGUAUACCAAUCUGGACCCUGAAAACCCUGAAGGUAAACAUCUUCUAAUGACCUACUUCUUUUCCCAGAGCUACCCCAACAUAAGAACUAAACUCAAAAAGCUGGAGAGGGGACCCCUGACACCACAGGCAGGAGUCUUAGUGCUGGCCUUCAAAGUGUUCCAUGGGAGAGAUGAGAAGGUCCGCAAACAAAACUAAAAUAUGUUGGCAAAGGCUGUCCGACCAGCUCCAGCCGAUACCCCUGAGCUCAUGGUCUUCUAAGACUCAGAGACCACCAGGUACCUGUUACAGGUGCAGUUGGCAAGGUCAUUGGGCAAAAGCCUGCCUUAAUCCCUACAAGCCAAGGGGGCCAUGCCUAGGUGCCAUCAAGAGGGUCAUUGGGCUGUCGAUUGCCCUCAUGUUACACAAAACAGAGGGACAUCACACCCAGAUAACCCUCCAACCAAUCUCCUAGGCUUGGCUAUGGCCAAGUGACAAGGCCCAGGCUCCUCUGACCUCCAUCACAAACAUGGAGCUUAGGGUAGAUAUCGUGGUAUGUGGGUGACCCAUAUUGUUGCGUCCAACUCGACCAGCAAGGAAAACGCAACCACCGGUUCUUCUUAAAGCAGUUUACUCAGGCAGCUUCUCUCUUCAAAUCCCCUGAGCCUCAGGGUACAAGCAUUUUUAUCCACUCAAGCCACAACCAUGCCUCAACCAAUCACCACAGGUCACAUCACCUCAC